GAGGGGAGGGGAGAGCGGGCGGCGGGUCCUCCCCGGACGUGGCGCACGGUGGCGUCCCCUGCUAACCGGCCUCUGCACCGCGCCGGCAGCAGGUGAUCGCGCUGCACCUGCCGCGUCACCUGACGCUGCCCCUGUUGUGCCCAAGACCGCGCAUCCGAGAAACCGCCGAGGAGCCGACGCCGCUGCAACCCCUACCUCUCCUGUCUGGCCCGCUUCUGCAGAGCCUGACGGUCCCCACACCUGCUCCCUGGCCUAGGUGGGUGGAUGCCCCGCACGAAGCCCGGCGCGGAGAUGGAGCUGUCGGCGGGUGUGUGCUUCCCGGCGGCCUAGAGGGGUCCAGAAGCCCUUCUUAGACAUGAAAUCUUUGAUGAAAAUGCAGAUGAUGCACUUUUCAUUCCUGCAGUGACUUCUCCCACGUUCACGUUGCCUUUCCUUAUUUACGGAAAGCAAACCAUCACACGUACUGCAGAAAAACAGAAAAUGUAAACUCUUAUUAAACUUUACUCUUCAAAAGCA